UGGGGCGUCGCCAAGUGGUUUAAGGCAUCGGCCUUUGAAGCCGACAUUCGAACGUUCGAAUCGUUCCGCCCCAGCCU
rnacentral:tRNA from 1 species